AAAAACCGAGCCAGGAUCAAUUUGAUAUGCGCAUGGUAAAUUUGUGUUUUUUAGACACAUAUCAUUUUUACCAUCAAAUAAUGUCAAAUUGAUACCAAAAAAUGUCAAAUUGUCGAUUUCUCUCUUUUCGGAAAUUUCUUGACAUCGAAAAAGAGAGGAUGUAGCAAUAUGGCGACAUCAAUCACGAUGCGUUUUAGUGGAUUUUUUGCCACUUGAAUUUUAUUUUGAUGCAGGUCGGACGUGCAUGGUCAGUGUAGUGUUUCUCCAAGUUGAAAAAAACAGAAAAAAUGACGGAGUCUGAAAAGGAAGGACUAUUAAGUUUCUUGACUGAUCAGGACCUACCAAUGUCCUGUUACGACUGUCUUAUUG